AGCGAACCGGGGGAACUGAAACAUCUAAGUACCCCGAGGAAAAGAAAUCAACCGAGAUUCCCCCAGUAGCGGCGAGCGAACGGGGAGCAGCCCAGAGUCUGAAUCAGCUUGUGUGUUAGUGGAACGGUCUGGAAAGUCCGACGGUACAGGGUGAUAGUCCCGUACACCAAAAUGCACAGGUUGUGAACUCGAAGAGUAGGGCGGGACACGUGGUAUCCUGUCUGAAUAUGGGGGGACCAUCCUCCAAGGCUAAAUACUCCUGACUGACCGAUAGUGAACCAGUACCGUGAGGGAAAGGCGAAAAGAACCCCGGCGAGGGGAGUGAAAAAGAACCUGAAACCGUGUACGUACAAGCAGUGGGAGCCUCUUUAUGGGGUGACUGCGUACCUUUUGUAUAAUGGGUCAGCGACUUAUAUUCUGUAGCAAGGUUAACCGUAUAGGGGAGCCGAAGGGAAACCGAGUCUUAACUGGGCGUUAAGUUGCAGGGUAUAGACCCGAAACCCGGUGAUCUAGCCAUGGGCAGGUUGAAGGUUGGGUAACACUAACUGGAGGACCGAACCGACUAAUGUUGAAAAAUUAGCGGAUGACUUGUGGCUGGGGGUGAAAGGCCAAUCAAACCGGGAGAUAGCUGGUUCUCCCCGAAAGCUAUUUAGGUAGCGCCUCGUGAAUUCAUCUUCGGGGGUAGAGCACUGUUUCGGCUAGGGGGUCAUCCCGACUUACCAACCCGAUGCAAACUGCGAAUACCGAAGAAUGUUAUCACGGGAGACACACGGCGGGUGCUAACGUCCGUCGUGAAGAGGGAAACAACCCAGACCGCCAGCUAAGGUCCCAAAGUCAUGGUUAAGUGGGAAACGAUGUGGGAAGGCACAGACAGCCAGGAUGUUGGCUUAGAAGCAGCCAUCAUUUAAAGAAAGCGUAAUAGCUCACUGGUCGAGUCGGCCUGCGCGGAAGAUGUAACGGGGCUAAACCAUGCACCGAAGCUGCGGCAGCGACACUAUGUGUUGUUGGGUAGGGGAGCGU
rnacentral:rRNA from 1 species